GGACUACAGAUUCAUGUGUCUACAGAGGCAGGCAAGAACUGGGGAAGGUUAGGUGAGCUGCUGGAGUCUGAGGAGAACAGAGACUCCAGUCUUCUGCUACCGAGAUCAGUGGACUUGUUGGCCUUUCCUCAGCAAAAUUUGGCAAUUCACUUAGAAAGCAUGAAGUCCGAGUGGGCUAAACAAAACAUGUCUACAGGAGGCCUAGUACGGCCUACAGUACCUUGAUUAUGACCUCUGGAUUCUAGAAGCCUUAGGGAUAUCACAUCACUUGCAAGAGUCAUUAAGGUGUUAGAGAUGAGCCCAAACCAACAAGAGUCAGAGGGGAGAACUUAUCUCAUAUUGGAGGCAUAUUAUACAAUGAAUAAGACUCUCCAGCCAACUCUUCAGUGAUAGCUGAUGUGGAUAAAUUGCACAGAAGGAAUGUUUCUGCUCUCUUCUUGGGCUCUGUCUCUGACGGAUGGAACGGCAAAGACAAGCAGUGUAGCGAGGUUGUGGAUAUCUUUACUGAGCACUUGUCAGGGCCUUCACAUCUAUAAUCUCAUUCACAUUUUACAGCCGGUGGUACUUAUGUUCUGCUACUUAUGAGAAUCACCUGGGGAAAGUUUUCAGUAAAUUCCAGGCUGCAUACGAGGUCAAAUCCCAAAUCUUCAGUAUUUUAUGAGCUCCCAGGACAUUCCCAUUUGCAUUCAGGGAAACAAUCACUGCUCACAGAAGCCUUCUUUCUACAAUGGAUUCUAAAAGGAAAUCAUGAAUUGCAUCUUGAGAAAAGAAAGCUGAGUUUGGCACUCAUACAGGGGUAA
rnacentral:lncRNA from 1 species